AUUGAACGCUGGCGGCAUGCCUUACACAUGCAAGUCGAACGGUAACGGGCCUUCGGGUGCCGACGAGUGGCGAACGGGUGAGUAAUACAUCGGAACGUGCCCGAUCGUGGGGGAUAACGAGGCGAAAGCUUUGCUAAUACCGCAUACGAUCUACGGAUGAAAGCAGGGGACCGCAAGGCCUUGCGCGGACGGAGCGGCCGAUGGCAGAUUAGGUAGUUGGUGGGAUAAAAGCUUACCAAGCCGACGAUCUGUAGCUGGUCUGAGAGGAUGAUCAGCCACACUGGGACUGAGACAGGCCCAGACUCCUACGGGAGGCAGCAGUGGGGAAUUUUGGACAAUGGGCGCAAGCCUGAUCCAGCCAUGCCGCGUGCAGGAUGAAGGCCUUCGGGUUGUAAACUGCUUUUGUACGGAACGAAAAGCCUUCUUUUAAUACAGGAGGGUCAUGACGGUACCGUAAGAAUAAGCACCGGCUAACUACGUG
rnacentral:rRNA from 1 species